GACGAACGCUGGCGGCGUGCUUAACACAUGCAAGUAGAACGGAAAGGCCCUGCUUGCAGGGUACUCGAGUGGCGAACGGGUGAGUAACACGUGGGUGAUCUGCCCUGCACUUCGGGAUAAGCCUGGGAAACUGGGUCUAAUACCGGAUAGGAGCCAUUUUUAGUGUGAUGGUUGGAAAGUUUUUUCGGUGUAGGAUGAGCUCGCGGCCUAUCAGCUUGUUGGUGGGGUAAUGGCCUACCAAGGCGGCGACGGGUAGCCGGCCUGAGAGGGUGGACGGCCACAUUGGGACUGAGAUACGGCCCAGACUCCUACGGGAGGCAGCAGUGGGGAAUAUUGCACAAUGGGCGCAAGCCUGAUGCAGCGACGCCGCGUGGGGGAUGACGGCCUUCGGGUUGUAAACUCCUUUCGCUAGGGACGAAGCUUUUUGUGACGGUACCUAGAGAAGAAGCACCGGCUAACUACGUG
rnacentral:rRNA from 1 species